CCCACCCCGCCCGCACCGCCGGGACCCGGCCGCCUGGCGCGAGUCCCCGUCCGGGCCUGGCUUGGCCCCAGCUUGGAGCGGCCGCGGCCGGCCCGGCGGCGCUGCGGUCUGAGAGUCCAUGCUGUGAUUCUCAAUGGAGAGUGAAAGCACAGAUUCAUGAUGAAAACCAGCCCCCGUCGGCCACUGAUUCUCAAAAGACGGAGGCUGCCUCUUCCUGUUCAAAAUGCCCUGGGUGAGACAUCAGAGGAGGAACCUAAAAGACCCCCUGCCCAACAGGAGCCUAGUCAAGCACAGGCCUCCAAGGAGGUGGCAGAGACCAGCUCUUGCAAGUUUCCAACUGGGAUCAAGAUUAUCAACCACCCCACCAUGCCCAGCACACAGGUGGUGGUCAUCCCCAACAAUGCCGACAUCCAGAGCAUUAUCACAGCAUUGACUGCCAAAGGAAAAGAGAGUGGCAGCAGCGGACCCAACAAAUUCAUCCUCAUCAGCUGUGGAGGACCCCCAGCUCAUCCUCCUGCCCUCCAGCCUCAAGUUCAAAGCAGCGAUGAUUCCAAAAGGACAGAAGUGAUCACCGAGACGUUGGGCCUUAAGCCUGCAGCUAGGGAUGUGAAUGUUUCUAAGUCACCUGGAGCCCCUCCAAGGCAGAGACGGGAGAACUGUGCUGGGGCUGAGGCAGUGGGCUGCAGUCUGGACAACAGCCUAACCAAUAUCCAGUGGCUUGGGAAGAUGAGUUCUGACGGGCUGGGCUCCUGCAGCAUCAAGCAAGAGGUGGAGGAAAAAGAGAACUGCCACCUGGAGCAGACUAAGGUUAAGGUUGAGGAGCCCUCGGGAACAUCAACGUCCUGGCAGGACUCUAUGUCUGAGAGGCCACCCUACUCUUACAUGGCCAUGAUACAGUUUGCCAUCAACAGCACUGAGAGGAAGCGCAUGACCUUGAAGGACAUCUAUACUUGGAUUGAAGACCACUUCCCCUAUUUUAAACACAUUGCCAAGCCAGGCUGGAAGAAUUCCAUUCGCCACAAUCUUUCUCUCCAUGACAUGUUUGUUCGGGAGACAUCUGCCAACGGCAAGGUCUCCUUCUGGAUCAUUCAUCCCAGCGCCAAUCGCUACUUAACGUUGGACCAGGUGUUCAAGCAGCAGAAACGACCCAAUCCUGAGCUCCGCCGGAACGUCACCCUCAAAACGGAACUCCCACUGGGUGCACGACGGAAGAUGAAGCCACUGCUACCACGGGUCAGCUCGUACCUAGUGCCCAUCCAAUUUCCAGUGAACCAGUCCCUGGUGCUGCAGCCCUCAGUGAAAGUGCCAUUGCCCCUCGCGGCUUCACUCAUGAGCUCAGAGCUUGCCCGCCAUAGCAAGCGGGUCCGCAUUGCCCCCAAGGUGAGCAUUCUCUUUUUCUGCAAAGAGAGACUCCAGACAAUUAAAAAUGAUGGACCUACAGCUUGUGAAAUAUUCUUCUAA